rnacentral:rRNA from 1 species
UACGUAGGGUGCAAGCGUUGUCCGGAAUUAUUGGGCGUAAAGAGCUCGUAGGCGGUUUGUCGCGUCUGCUGUGAAAACUGGAGGCUCAACCUCCAGCCUGCAGUGGGUACGGGCAGACUAGGGUGCGGUAGGGGAGAUUGGAAUUCCUGGUGUAGCGGUGAAAUGCGCAGAUAUCAGGAGGAACACCGGUGGCGAAGGCGGGUCUCUGGGCCGAUACUGACGCUGAGGAGCGAAAGCGUGGGGAGCGAACAGG